UAUGCAAUGAGUUUAAGCUCAAAACAUCCUGCAAAUAUACAUACACAUAAUGAAAGAAAGAAAGAAAAAACAGAAAAAAAGAUUACAUAUUUAUAUGUUUCUUUUUUUUUUUUUUUUUUUUUUUUCUUUUUCCUAAUUUGUGUAAUUUUUAUAAAAACAGGAAGGAAGGUCUGAGAUGCUGCAUUUAAAGAAUAGAAAAAAAAGUUAUAACAUUCAUUGUUACUUUUUAUUUCAUAUAUAUAUAUAUAUAUAUAUAUAUUCUUUAAUAAAAUUUUUGAGAGAAAAAGUAUUGAACAAAUAUUAAUUAGUUACCAGAAAUAUCAAUCAUAUAUUUAAAAUUUCGUAAGAAAUUUUGUGUAUGAUUUUGAAAAAGCUAAUAAGCAAGUAUACAUUGGUGAGUUCGAUUUUUGAGGUUUUUCUUUAUUCCUACAUCUCAUAUAUCAAUAUAUUUUUUAUAAUGUAUACGAGAUGUUAAUAAGAAAAAUAACUUAAUUCAGACUACUCCUAAAUUCAUUGCUACAA
rnacentral:RNase_P_RNA from 1 species